GACGAACGCUGGCGGCGUGCUUAACACAUGCAAGUGGAGCGACGAACCGGGGCUUGCCCCGGGGCAGAGCCGCGAACGGGUGAGUAACACGUGGGUAACCUACCCCGAUGACCGGGACAACCCGAGGAAACUCGGGCUAAUACCGGAUGAGCUCCUAUCUCGCGAGAGAUAGGAGGAAAGAUAGCUUCGGCCUUCGCAUCGGGACGGGCCCGCGGCCCAUUAGCUUGUUGGUGAGGUAACGGCUCACCAAGGCUUCGAUGGGUAGCUGGUCUGAGAGGACGAUCAGCCACACUGGGACUGAGACACGGCCCAGACUCCUACGGGAGGCAGCAGUGGGGAAUCUUGCACAAUGCGCGAAAGCGUGAUGCAGCAACGCCGCGUGGGGGAAGAAGGCCUUCGGGUUGUAAACCCCUUUCAGUUGGGACGAAGCUCCGCCGGUGAAUAGCCGGCUGGAGUGACGGUACCUUCAGAAGAAGCCCCGGCUAACUACGUGCCAGCCGCCGCGGUAACAC
rnacentral:rRNA from 1 species